rnacentral:rRNA from 1 species
CCCCGAGAUUACAUGAGGAGUCAGACCUGCCCAGUGCUCUAAACAGAGUAAACGGCCGCGGUAAUCUGACCGUGCAAAGGUAGCAUAGUCAAUUGCCUAGUAAUUUUAGGCUAGAAUGAAUGGUUCGACGAAAAGCCAGCUGUCUCCCUGCCCCCGCUAAAAACUAAUACCCGGGUGAAAAAGCCCGGAUCCCACCGGAGGACAAAAAGACCCUAUCGAGCUUAACUCCCCUGCAAAUCCCCCAAGGGUUGCGGAGAGAUUUUGUUGGGGCAACAACGGGAAGCCCACUAACCCCCGUAACUACAAUCUAAAUAAAGAAUCCAACCAGUACUACUGAAUAAAAAUAAGCUACCGUAGGGAUAACAGCGUAAUCCUGUUCUAGAGUUCACAUCAAAAACAGGGUUUGCGACCUCGAUGUUGGACUAGGGGACCACUUCAGCGCAGAAGCUGAGGAGUGCUGGUCUGUUCGACCAAUAAACCCCUACGUGAUCUGAGUUCA